UUCAACGAGUCGAGUUGUUUGGGAAUGCAGCUCAAAAUGGGUGGUAAAUUCCAUCUAAAGCUAAAUAUUGGCGAGAGACCGAUAGCGAACAAGUACCGUGAGGGAAAGAUGAAAAGCACUUUGGAAAGAGAGUUAAACAGUACGUGAAAUUGUUAAAAGGGAAACGAUUGAAGUCAGUCGUGCUCUCUGGGACUCAGCCGGUUCUUCCGGUGUACUUCCCAGUGAGCGGGUCAACAUCAGUUUAGAUCGCUGGAUAAAGGUAUUAGGAAGGUGGCUCCCUCGGGAGUGUUAUAGCCUAGUAUCGCAUACAGUGGUUUAGACUGAGGAACGCAGCUCGCCUUUAUGGCCGGGGUUCGCCCACGUCCGAG
rnacentral:rRNA from 1 species